GUGAAUCAUCGAAUCUUUGAACGCAAAUUGCACUCUCCUCGGAGAGUAAGACUGUUUGAGGGUCAGCCUAUAAAAAUCGACAUUGUUGCUGUUUCGCGGUGGCGCUCGUCGGUAAUUGGGUUAUUUUAAAUCCUUUUGGUUUUUAAGCGACUUAAAAUUUUCUUUUUGGUUCCUUGAACGUUUCUAAGAACUAUUUCUUUACAUGUUUAAGGUAUCGAUUUUUACUAGACGUGACCAGAAUAUCGGAUCGCGUACAUAAUCUUUCAUUAACUGACCUCAGACAGGGAAGAGUACCCGCUGA
rnacentral:misc_RNA from 1 species